rnacentral:rRNA from 1 species
AUUGCCCUAGUAACGGCGAGUGAAGCGGCAACAGCUCAAAUUUGAAAUCUGCCUUCGGGCCGAGUUGUAAUUUGUAGAGGAAGCUUUUGGUGAGGCACCUUCUGAGUCCCCUGGAACGGGGCGCCAUAGAGGGUGAGAGCCCCGUAUAGUCGGAUGCCGAUCCAAUGUAAAGCUCCUUCGACGAGUCGAGUAGUUUGGGAAUGCUGCUCAAAAUGGGAGGUAAAUUUCUUCUAAAGCUAAAUACCGGCCAGAGACCGAUAGCGCACAAGUAGAGUGAUCGAAAGAUGAAAAGCACCUUGAAAAGGGGGUUAAAUAGCACGUGAAAUUGUUGAAAGGGAAGCGUUUGCGGCCAGACUUGCGCCGCCCCGAUCAUCCGGUGUUCUCACCGGUGCACUCGGGGCGGCGCAGGCCAGCAUCGGUUUCGGCGGGGGGAUAAAGGUCCGGGGAACGUAGCUCCUUCGGGAGUGUUAUAGCCCCGGGCGUAAUGCCCUCGCCGGGACCGAGGUUCGCGCAUCUGCAAGGAUGCUGGCGUAAUGGCCGCCAACGACCCGUCUUGAAACACGGACCAAGGAGUCAAGGUUUUGCGCGAGUGUUUGGGUGUAAAACCCGCACGCGUAAUGAAAGUGAACGUAGGUGAGAGCUUCGGCGCAUCAUCGACCGAUCCUGAUGUAUUCGGAUGGAUUUGAGUAAGAGCGUUAAGCCUUGGACCCGAAAGAUGGUGAACUAUGCUUGGAUAGGGUGAAGCCAGAGGAAACUCUGGUGGAGGCUCGCAGCGGUUCUGACGUGCAAAUCGAUCGUCAAAUCUGAGCAUGGGGGCGAAAGACUA